UACGUAGGUGGCAAGCGUUGUCCGGAUUAUUGGGUUUAAAGGGUGCGUAGGCGGUUCUUUAAGUCAGUGCUGAAAUACUCCAGCUUAACUGGAGGGGUGGCAUUGAUACUGGGGAACUUGAGUGUAGUCGAGGUAGGCGGAAUUGACGGUGUAGCGGUGAAAUGCUUAGAUAUCGUCAAGAACACCGAUAGUGAAGACAGCUUACUAGACUACAACUGACGCUGAGGCACGAAAGUGUGGGGAUCAAACAGG
rnacentral:rRNA from 1 species